rnacentral:rRNA from 1 species
UACGAAAAAUGCAAACAUUGCUCGGAAUCAUUGGGCGUAAAGCGCAUGUAGGCGGUCGGCUAUGUCGGAUGUGAAAGCCUCGGGCUUAACCCGAGAAGUGCAUCCGAAACCGGCCGGCUUGAGUACGGAAGAGGGUCUCGGAAUUCCCGGUGUAGAGGUGAAAUUCGUAGAUAUCGGGAGGAACACCAGUGGCGAAGGCGGAGACCUGGGCCGAUACUGACGCUGAGAUGCGAAAGCGUGGGGAGCAAACAGG